rnacentral:tRNA from 1 species
GUCAGAAUGGCCGAGCGGUCCUAAGGCGCCAGACUCAAGGUUGUGCACCUUCUACAAAAACAGAGAGAUUUCUGGUCUCCGAAUGGAAAGGCGUGGUUCAAAUCCCACUUCUGACA